rnacentral:rRNA from 1 species
CGGCAGCGACGCUGAUGCGUUGUUGGGUAGGGGAGCGUUCUGUAAGCCUGCGAAGGUGUGCUGUGAGGCAUGCUGGAGGUAUCAGAAGUGCGAAUGCUGACAUAAGUAACGAUAAAGCGGGUGAAAAGCCCGCUCGCCGGAAGACCAAGGGUUCCUGUCCAACGUUAAUCGGGGCAGGGUGAGUCGACCCCUAAGGCGAGGCCGAAAGGCGUAGUCGAUGGGAAACAGGUUAAUAUUCCUGUACUUGGUGUUACU